GUGGGAGGGGGCUUGCCCCCGAUGGCGGCGUGUCAAUCAGCCCAUCUAUAACUGAUCCACCGCUAUCGGGGGCAAGCCCCCUCCCAC
rnacentral:antisense_RNA from 1 species